UUGGACUUCCAGCAGGCAUGCGUGAGCGUGUUUGAUAGGAGUGAAUGGAGACAAAUGGUUUUUAAUACUUGACGUGCUGUUGGAGUGUGAGCAAAGUAACAUUUAUGAAGGGGUUCAGGGAAACCGGCAGGCCGGACUUGAGUCCUGGAGAUGGGAAGUACAGUGCCUGCACUCUGAAGGAGGGGUGUUAAUGUUGCAGUUUAAAAACUGUAGUGUAAAGCACCCUUCUGGCAAGACAGUGAUGGAGUGAAUUAUGGUGAAAGUUUUUCUUUUUCGGGCCACCCUGCCUUGGUGGGAAUCGGCCAGUGUGAUAAUAAAAAAAAAUAAAAAAAAAGUUUCUUCUGUAUAGGAAAAUGCUUUUUUUAAAUGAGUUCUUUUUUUUUAUCAUAUUUUCAUCAUUUGUCUUUGUCAUGUCAGGUUCAGAUUGGCAAAAUGUAUAAUAUGAUUCAGUUGAUUUCCUUCAAGGUGGGUCCCUUGCUGCAGCAAAGGGAUUCUUAAUUUGAGGAAUUGAACCUCUUGCCCUUGUUUAAAAAUCCAAAUGCUGUAACCCUUAACUUUGUGUCUCCAUUUGGCCUCGGUGGGGAAGAUUUCCUCCUUUUGUAAAAUCCACCUCCUAGACAGAGGGAAAAAGGACUGCUGUCAGCCAUGAUUGAAUGUAGCUUCUGUUGAUAGUGUUGCUGUAGUUGUUACUCCACUUGAUGAAGUAAGAUCAACUUGGAGUGUGUCAGGUGACCUUGCUGGGGGACAUUGGUUGGCCAUCUGGAAGAACUUCUGGAGGUUGCCAAUAGUGGCAACUAAGGAUGUAUGACUCCUGGCAUUCAUUUGGUUUGCCCACCACCAAUAUUAGUUGAAAGAAGAUCGCAUGAUUAGUGGUUUUGUAUAUUCAGGCAGGGUCUCUAAACCUAGCUCAGUCAAUUCUGGAGGUACCAUCAUGGUGUUGUUCACCAAGUAGGGUAAGAAGUGGUUGCUAGGUUUAACAACUCUGCUUGUUGCAACAAAAGCAACCUUGGUUCAAGGUGGGUAUGUGGUUUCUUUUUGUCUCUUCUAAGAAUUAAUCCUCCACUUUUUUUUCUUCAUUAGUGAGUUUUUUUUUAUUAUUAUCACACUGGCCGAUUCCCACCAAGGCAGGGUGGCCCGAAAAAGAAAAACUUUCACCAUCAUUCACUCCAUCACUGUCUUGCCAGAAGGGUGCUUUACACUACAGUUUUUAAACUGCAACAUUAACACCCCUCCUUCAGAGUGCAGGCACUGUACUUCCCAUCUCCAGGACUCAAGUCCGGCUUGCCGGUUUCCCUGAACCCCUUCAUAAAUGUUACUUUGCUCACACUCCAACAGCACGUCAAGUAUUAAAAACCAUUUGUCUCCAUUCACUCCUAUCAAACACGCUCACGCAUACCUGCUGGAAGUCCAAGCCCCUCGCACACAAAACCUCCUUUACCCCCUCCCUCCAACCUUUCCUAGGCCGACCCCUACCCCGCCUUCCUUCCACUACAGACUGAUACACUCUUGAAGUCAUUCUGUUUCGCUCCAUUCUCUCUACAUGUCUGAACCACCUCAACAACCCUUCCUCAGCCCUCUGGACAACAGUUUUGGUAAUCCCGCACCUCCUCCUAACUUCCAAACUACGAAUUCUCUGCAUUAUAUUCACACCACACAUUGCCCUCAGACAUGACAUCUCCACUGCCUCCAGCCUUCUCCUCGCUGCAACAUUCAUCACCCAUGCUUCACACCCAUAUAAGAGCGUUGGUAAAACUAUACUCUCAUACAUUCCCCUCUUUGCCUCCUGAUCCCUAGUGACCAUGACACCCUCUAUUAGCCACUGUACUGCUAUGAACUCUCCUCAGAACCUGGAAUGGUUUUUGAGCAAUUCUUUGUUGCCAGAAUCCAGUACAGGAGGGCCCGCUAAUACAGCAGAUUAGGUUCCAGGCUAAUACUGUAAAGUGAAAAUCACUGUGAAGUGAAACAGUCUUCUUUUUACUUUCGUAUGCAUAUAAAAGCCUGAUAAUGUGUUUACACAUCAUACAUUAAGCGAGCAAUAGAGCCAGGCCCUAAAAAAUGCAUAUAUAGCACACACAUUACUUACCUUAAAAUAUUUUUCUACUUGGCUUACAGUGAGUGGUGAAUAUAUUUAUUGUAGGUAGCCUGAAUAAAUGAAAAAUGGGUAUAAUUGAAAACCACCAUAUUUGCGAAACACCGUAAAGCAGGGGCUCUCCUGUACUGAUCUUCUAUCUGGUACCUCUGACUGCUGUACCUUGACUAUAGAACUGGCUUCCCCCCCUUACAUAAUAAUUCACAGAUUGUCCUCACACCAAUGGACAAGAGUGGCUCAAAACCAUCUGCCAAGAGAUAGCAACAUACCAACAAAAACAGUGAUAUUAUACACAUACUACAAUCACACACACUAACACUGACAGAAAAGUUUCAGACAUGACAAUGAACAAGAAUUCUUUUUCCUCUGAAACAUACCUGAAUGACCACAUAUGCAAGAACUCUCAAUACAUUUUUGGCCAAGACAUAUACUUCCAUCCUCUAAAAAGUCAGAUGCACAUUGAGUUAAUGAUGCUGACCUGACUAAAGAUCCUUUCAGGUUUAGCACUUAGUUUGAAUUUACUAUUAUUAUUAUUGACCAAGCUAAUAAAUUAAUUUGGCUUGACACAGUAUCCAGGACCGCAUUAUCACCCCACCUUCAGUGCUGUAUAAUGGUUUGCAUCCUUCAUGUGAUUUUACAGCAAAAUAGACUGUGCUUCUGACAUACAAAAACAUUAAGAAUUGCAAUGCUUCCCAAUCACUAUGAGCAAAAUUUACGUCUGCUCCACUUGCAUGUUAUACUUGACCAGUAUUUAUUUAUUUAUUUAUUUAUUUAGAAAUUUUAGCAUACAAACAGAGAUACAAAAAAUACAGGUAAGAGCAGCAUGCCAAAGCCACUUAUAUGCAUAGCAUUACGGGCUGGCUUAAAAUUAACUUAAGAUUAACUAAGCAAUGAUGAAAUCAGUGAUAAGACAUUAUUGUAAACAGAUAACUAUAAAAUACAAAUGAGUAUUACAAAGACAGGUCCUAUGGUUGCAUGCAUUGCUGUUCAUUCAGUAGAAUGGAGUAUUCUGUUAGGUAGUGUAUUUAAAAAAAAUAACAAAGUUAGGUUUAACAUUUGUGUGAUAUAAUUGUGAGUAACAUUUAGGAUAUACAAUUUAUAUGGUUCAGUUAUUCAGUAUUUAUUUGGUUUUGAGUGAGUAAGUGAACUUUGAGAAGAGACUUGAAUUUAUAAACAGGUAGUGUUUCUUUUAUAUUUACAGGUAAUGAAUUCCAGAUUUUAGGGCCUUUUAUGUGCAUUGAGUUUUUGCAUAGUGUGAGAUGGACACGAGGAACAUCAAAGAGUGAUCUGUGCCUUGUAUUAUGGUCAUGUGUUCUGUUGAGGUUGGCAAGGAGAUGUUUGAGGGGAGGGUUAAUAUCAGAGUUGAGUAUAGUUAAAAUGAUGUUCGAUAGCCAAGAACUUUCCCCGUCAGUAUAUGCAGCAGGUCAACACCUGCUAGUGAAGGAACAAACCCACACAACAGCAGUGUUGCAACUGCUGGCACUGUGGCACCAAGCAAAAUACUGCAGAAUAAAUCAAAAUGCCCUACAAUCCCCUGGAAAAUUGGCAAAAAUUUAAUAUUUCCUCUACUUUGAGCUUGAUUUCAACUUACUUCCAGUCUUGAAACCAACCAAAAUCAACUCUAUUUCAGUAUACAGUAGACCCUCAUAUUACACGGUAGUUACGUUCCUGAAAAUGCCGUGUUACGUAAAAUCCGUGUUAUAUGAACUGAAGAACUUGUGGGGGAAAAAUAGGUUUACGUUCCUGCCCCCCCCCCCCCCCCCCCGAAAAGCCAAACACCUUUUUUUAUUUAGACAUCCAGAUCUUACAUAAAUAAAAAUGAUAAUGUUGUUUUUGUUGCUUAAGGCUACAUACACAACAGAAAUAAUAAUAUUUACCUUAAAUUGUGGUUGCUGGUAUAUGUCCGCGAUUGUGAAGAGAGUGGAGAUGCAUGGUGUGGCCCUACUGGGCUGAGGUGAAUGGUUGUUGCUUGUCAGCAGAAGUGGAUUGUUGAGGUUCUGGUACUAAAGUCGAUGGUUGUAUUGGAGUGUGCAUAAAUUCUAUAAUGGAUCUCUAGCUUCUUUUACCCUGCAGUACAUUAUACAUUAUUUUAGAAGCUUGUUACUGCCAGGUUGGAGUCAGAGUCCAUUGAUGCAACUAGUUUUUCAUAACUUUUCUUGUGUAAUUACACUUGAAUGACUUAAUAACUCCCAGAUCCAGUGGUUGUAUUAAAGAUGUUGUAUUUGGAGGUAAAAAAUAAAACUUUUACAUGUGGGGUCACAUCCAGCAAAGCUUCUGGAUGAGUAUGGGAAUUAUCAAGAAUGAAGAGAGCCAUGAAUGCAAGGUUCUUGCUGUGCAGGUAAAACUUGACUUCAGGAAUAAAGUGAUGCUUAAACCAGUCAAUAAAUACAGUGGACCCCCGCAUAACGAUUACCUCCAAAUGCGACCAAUUAUGUACGUGUAUUUAUGUAAGUGCGUUUGUACGUGUAUGUUUGGGGGUCUGGAAUGGACUAAUCUACUUCACAAUAUUCCUUAUGGGAACAAAUUCGCUCAGUACUGGCACCUGAACAUACUUCUGGAGUGAAAAAAUAUCGUUAACCGGGGGUCCACUGUAUUUCCUCUGUCAUCCAUGCUGACUGGUUUGACCUCCAAAUUACUAGUAAGGUGUUUUUUGUACACCUUUCAAAGCACAAGGAUUCUUAGAGUGAUAAAUAACCAUGUGCUUACACUUGAAAUCACCUGAUGCAUUACCGUAAAGGAGCAAGGUGAAGUGAUCCUUUGCUGCCUUGAAGCCCGGUGCAGCUUCACGGAAACAGUGGUCCCACCCACAGCUAGGGAAAUGUCUCACAGGCAACACUUCAGAUUUUUUCCCCUCCCACAAACCAAACCAUGUUAAGUUAAUUUUAUGAAGUGUUGUAUAAAAUUAUGCCGCAAUUUUUCAGUAUUAUAAUAACCAGAAUGUGCCAAAUAAAUCUGUGUAAUAUGAGGGUCUACUGUAUCUUCUAUUCUAUCAAAUGAUAGCAAGAAACAGCCAGCAAAAGUUCUUAUUAUAAACCAAACACAAGGUCAGAGCUCCGAUUUCCCAUAAUGCACAUGCGAGGCAGAAUUCUUUUUAUACUGUGCACACCCACCAAACUGACCCACUCUUGUAUUAGGCCAAAAUUUACAGCUCAGCUUAUCCUUUGGAGCUGAGCUCAAAAUGUAAAUCUGUGCGAGGGACCCUGGCAUCAAUGAUGUAGACCUAUUGAUGGACAGUGAAAGGGUUAGAGGAGGAGGGUUGCUUGUAUAACCAGACAGUAACCCAAUUCUGCUUGCAGGGAAGAGCACCACACACCUUUGCCAGAGUUGCCUGGUAUCUCCAUGUCCAUUAGUGCCAGGAAUUACGUCAAUGUCUGUGGGUCUUUUGAUCUUUCUCAGCAAACAUCUUUUUACUGCAGAAUCAACAUGAUGCCAUUGCCUUCAGUAUUUUGUUUGCUUCCAAGAUCUUCAUGACCCUCAUAUAUACAGAAAAAUCACAGGCAUUAGUAAAGCUAAUUUAAUAAAUAAUAGACUCAAUUUAGUAUGGACUUUUAAUCUCUGUAUCUGAUCUUGGGUUAUGCCUCUUAAUUUACCCCCUCUCCUUUUUUCACCCCUUAUAUAUGUACAUGCUUGCAUGCGUUCAUGUGUGUGUGCGCACAUGUAUGUAUGUGUGUAUGUAUGUAUGUAAACUCAUGGUUUGAAAGAGCAUGCAGUGGACCCUCCCUUUUCGUUGGGUUCUGUUUUCAUUAGUUUCAGUUAUCGCUGACUUUUUUCGUAAAAAUAUUGGCUCAGUUUUCGUUACUUUCCUCUGUUCUCAUCAGUGGUAUGGUACCUGUCUGAGUACCGCACGCACACAAAGCCUCCCACACGUGCAUUCUGAGGCAGUGUUGCUUUGUUUCUUGGUGAGUCAACAUUAUCCUACGAGGUCAUAGGAAACAUUUCAUAAUAAUUCAUUGUUUUUUUGCAUUCGUUUAUUCUGUGUGACUGCUAAAUAAGUUACCAUGGGCCCAAAGAAAGUUGCUAGUGCCAGCCCAUUGAUAAAGAAGGUGAGAAACACGAUAGUAUUCAAGAAAAAAUUUGUAACAAAGUACCAAAAUGGAGGAGGAAGAGGGGAGAAUGUUCCUUCUUCAGUGAUUCUACGAUAUGUACGAUACUAAAAUAGCAGGAAUUGAUAAAGGCUAUAGCUCCAGCCAGCGAUAAAGUGUAGCAUUAACAGUGUAGCAAGUAAGUUAAGCGAUUAAGUGAUAGAAAAAGGAUGAAACGAAAGUAACUUAACUUCAAUGUUAUUGGAGGUAUAUAGGGCCACUGACAACUAUGGAAAGCUGCAUAGCCUGACAUAACCCCAUGUGGAAUGUACAAUAUAUAUACUGUAUAUUCAACAAACCGGCCGUAUCCCACCAAGGCAGGAUGACCCAAAAAGAAAAAUGAAAGUUUCUCUCUUUAAAUUUAGUAAUUUAUACAAGAGAAAGGGUUACUAGCCCCUUGCCCCCGGCAUUUUAGUUGCCUCUUACAACAACGCCUUUAAUCCGUUCCAGAGAGCUAGCCUUUAGCCGAAUUAACUUUCCCCCGUAAGAAAUAAUGGAAAUUUAAUUAGUCCAUUCCAGACACCCAAAAGUAUUAAACAAAAUAAUUUUUUUUUACAUGAAAUGUACAUUUCCCUACACAGAAAACAGUGAUACAUGAACAAUAAACAAUACUGAAAUGACACUUACCUUUAUUGUGGACUUGUUGAUGAGUGAUGAGACAGGAGGAGGGGAGAGGAUGAAGGUGUACUAGUGUUUGGAAGGGGAAUCCCCUUCCAUAAAGACUUAAGGUAACAAGUCCUUUUCUGGGGUUACCUCCCUUCUUGGUUUUUUAAUGCCACUGGGAACAAUUUUAGUUACUGGACCGCUGUCGCACAAAAUAUUUGUCCAGAGAGCUCUGUUUCUUGCAUCCCUUUAAGAUUUCCCUAAAAUGAGACACGAGUGUCAUUGUACGUGUUGCCAAUACGGCUUGCAACAGCUGUGUAAGGAUAAUAUUCUUCCAUAAAUGCUUGCAACUUUGUCCACAUUGUACACAUUUCCUUAAACUUUGAUGAAGGCAACUUCACCAGUCUCUCUUCCUCCUCCUCUGAAGCAAAUUCCUGAGCUGUGAUCUGUUGCUGUUGCACCUGAAGCUCUUGCAGCUCUGUAGUGGUUAGCUCUUCAUUGUUGUCCUCCACCAACUCUUCCACAUCCUCACCACUAACCUCCAACCCCAUGGACUUCCCCAAUGCCACAAUAGAUUCCACAGCUGGCAUAGGCUCCUCAGGGUUAGCCCCAAACCCUUCAAAAUUCCUCUUGUACACAUUCUGGCCACAAUUUUUUCCAAGCAGAUUUCAAAGUCCUGCAAGUCACUCCCUCCCAAGCCUUACCUAUAAGGUUUAUGCAGUUGAGGAUACUGAAGUGAUCUUUCUGGAACUCUCUUAGGGUCAAUUCAGUGUCUGAGAUCACUUCAAAGCACUUUUGAAACACUGUUUUGGUGUACAGUUUUUUGAAGUUUGAAAUGACCUGCUGGUCCAUGGGCUGGAGGAGAGGAGCGGUAUUAGGAGGUAAAAAUUUCACUUUGAUGAAGCUCAGCUCCCUCGCAAUUUGCUCUUGCAAGUCGUGAGGAUGAGCAGGAGCAUUGUCCAUUACCAGGGGGCACUUGAGUGACAAUUUAUUUUCCAGGAGGUACUUUUUCACAAUGGGGCCAAACACGUCGUAGAACCAGUCACGAAAAUGUCCCUAGUGACCCGUGCCUUACUGUUUGCUCUCCACAUCACACACAAUUUAGUCUUGAAGACAUUGUUUUUCUUGAACACACUGGGAGUUUCAGAGUGAUACACGAGUAAAGGCUUCACUUUGCAAUCCCCACUAGCAUUACUACAAAACAUUAGAGCUAGCCUGUCUUUCAUAGGCUUGUGUCCUGGGAGUGCCUUUUCCUCCUGAGUAAUGUAGGUCCUGUUUGGCAUUUUCUUCCAAAACAGGCUUGUUUUGUCACAAUUAAAUACUUGUUGGGGUUUUAAUUUUUCAGUGUCUAUGUGCUUUUUGAAGUCCUGCACAUAUUUUUCAGCCGCUUUUUUGUCAGAACUGGCAGCCUCACCAUGCCUUAUCACACUGUGUAUGCCACUACAAUUCUUAAAUCUCUCAAACCAGCCUUUGCUGGCCAUAAAUUCAUCAACAGCAGCACUAUUUGGAGGCAUUUUCCUAAUGAGAUCUGCAUGCAACUGCCUUGCCUUUUUACACAUUAUUGACUGAGAAAUACUAUCUCCUGAAAAUUGUUUCUCGUUUAUCCACACCAAUAACAGUCUCUCCACAUCUUCGAGUAUUUGUGAUCUCUGUUUUGAAAACAUACUUGCACCUUUUGCAACAACAGCUUCCUUGAUUGCCUUUUUGUUGGUCAAGAUAGUAGUGAUGGUUGAAUGGGUUUGUCAUAUAACCUUUCCAACUCCGAGAUAUGCACUCCACUCUCAUGCUUUGCGAUUAUCUCUUUCUUUAAUUCGAUAGUACACCUCACCCUUUUUACCACAGGGUUGGACUAGGAGCUUUCUUGGGGCACAUGGUGGCUUAUUUAGAGUUACAAGCACUAAAAACACUGGAAUAAUAGAAAAUAUAUUGCAGGUACGCAUGGACAUCCUCACUGGCUUUGUAAACAAUGCCACACUGGCUGGUACACGGAGUGAGUGGCCGGGCGCCCGCUCAGGCCACGUGGACACGUUCAGGACAAAAGCCCUUAGCCGAGUUAUUUGGUAUUGGCUGAGCCAAUAUUUUUACGCCAAAGCAAGCCGUUAGCCAAAGCCGCCAUUACCCAAGGGUCCACUGUACAUACAUACACUGUGUACUCACCUAAUUGUACUCGCCUAAUUGUGGUUGCAGGGGUCGAUACUCAGCUCCUGGCCCCGCCUCUUCACUGACUGCUACUAGGUCCUCUCUCCCCCUGCUCCAUGAGCUUUAUCAUACCUCGUCUUAAAACUUGUAUAGUUGCUGCCUCCACUACAUCGCUUGCCAGACUAUUCCACUUCCUAAUUACUCUAUGACUGAAGAAAUACUUCCUAACAUCCCUUUGACUCAUCUGAGCCUUCAGCUUCCAAUUGUGACCCCUUGUUUCUGAGUCCCAUCUCUGGAACAUCCUGUCUCUGUCCACCUUGUCUAUUCCACGCAGUAUUUUGUAUGCUGUUAUCAUGUCUCCCCUGACCCUCCUGUCCUCCAGUGUUGUCAGUUUUGUCCAGUGUGCACAUGUGCGAGCGCAGUAAUUGAUUUUUUCUUAUUUCUUUUGAGUAUUUUCAACUUCUGAUAUUACCAAAAUGAAAUAUUAUAUACUUGUUUCAAGGUGUGAUACUCCUCAAAACACAGAAAUAUCAUAUAUAUUUUUUAAUUCCUUUGGUUACCCUGGGUUAAUUAUACCAAGUAUAGUUAUUUGUCUGAUUUCCACUAUUAGUAUGAAAUUACUUACAGUGGACCCUUGGUUAUCGGCCGUAAUCCAUUCCAGACGGUUGGCCUAAAACCGAAAUGGCCAAAAACCAAAAUAUUUCCCAUGCACUUUAAAGGAGGGGUUUGGGAUAUUGGCAUUUUGGAGGAAUAUGUUGUGUAUCUUUAUACAUAUAUGCUUUUAAACUGUUGUAUUCUGAGCACCUGUGCAAAAACAGUGAUUAUGUGUGAGUGAGGUAAAAGUGUAUUUUCUUUUCGGGGAUUUUCUUUCUUUUUGGGUCACUCUGCCUCGGUAGGAGACGGCUGACUUGAUAAAAAAAAAAAUGAAUCCGUUCCAAACACCCAAAAAUAUUAACAAAACAUGCAUUUUUUUAACCCUUUCAGGAUUGGUGCCAUACUAGUACGGCUUGCACGUUAGGGUUGGUGCCGUACUAGUACGCGUAAAUUCUAGCGCCUUCAAAUCUAGCGAGAGAAAGCUGGUAGGCCUACAUAUGAAAGAAUGGGUCUGUGUGGUCAGUGUGCACAGUAUAAAAAAAAUCCUGCAGCACACAGUGCAUAAUGAGAAAAAAAAACUCCGACUGUGUUUUUGGUUUAAAACAGCGAUUUUGCAGUGUAUUUUCGUAUGGUAUUUAUGGUUGUAUUCUAGUUUUCUUGGUCUUAUUUUAUAGAAUAGAAGACAUAUUACAGAAAUUGAGAUAAUUUUGACUGGUUUCACAAUGAAAAGUACCUUGAUAUUGAGCUCAGAGUAGCAGAAAUGUUCAAGUUUUGCCAAAGUUCUAAAGUAAACAAAUCAUGCCACGUGUCCAAUACACGUCAACUGGUGAGUCUAAUAUUCUUUCACAAGUGUGCUGAUAUUAUUUAUACCAUUUCUACACUAAUGCAGUAGUCUGCAUAACAGUAAAUGUUCAAUUUUUUUUUUUGAGAAUAAAAAUUCAAAGUGGAAAGCAAAAGAGAUGUAAGAGGGGCCUGGGGACGUGACUGAUGAACAGAGAAAAUGUUAUUUUAGUGCCAGGAAUGUCUGUCUUGUUUAUUCUGGACCCUAUUUGGAAAUUGGCAUCUUUUGAAAUUUGUGUGAAAUUGGCAAAUUUGCCAAUUUCUGCCCACUUUAUUGGAUAGUUGAAAUUGGUAAAUGGGUGGUUUCUUGUACACAUUUGAUAUAAAAAGUGGAGUUCUAGCGAAAUAGUUAUGAUUUUUGGCAACUGGUACAUUGGAAUUGUCCGAAAAUAGGGCUCAAAGUGGGCGAAAUUGCCGAUGUGUAAACAUCGUCGAGACUGCUAACUUUGCGAGAGCAUAAUUCCAUGAGUUUUCCCUCAAAUUUCAUACUUUUGGUGUCAUUAUGAUAAAAAAAAAAAGAUUCUCUAUCAUUUCAUAAGUUUUUUUUUUUUUUUUUUUUUUUUUAAUUUCGACCCUGAGAGCAAGUUUAGGAGAGGGCCUCUCAACCCUGAAAGGGUUAAAGAUUAACUAUAGUUUUACAUACACAAAACAAUGAGAACUAAAUAAAAUGACUAAUGAAAUGGAUAUAUGAAUAUUUAAAUCACUUUUACCUUUAUUAAAUAGUCUUCCUGGCGUAUGCAAAACAGCGAGGAGCGGAGAGGGAGACGAGUUUGUCUGGAGAAGGACAAAAUGCUUAAAUAUGAUGCUAUUAUCAACUUAUUAUACAGUUUAUAUAUUUAUCACAAUUCAUCUAAUAUGACAUAAUAACAUAGAAACAUGAUAUAUACUCUAGAAUGAGUAUGUCAAUGCAUAGUGGUGAUUGUGGUGGUCUUGUUGGGUUAGUAAGGGCCACUGACAGCAUAAGCCAUACAUAUAGUGGUGGUAGUGGCAGCAGCAGAGGCCACCACCACUAUUCACACUGAAACAAUGUAUGUAAUUUAUAAAUAAGAAAUAUUUACACUUUAAAUUAUAAAUAAGAAAUAAUUUACACUUUAUAAAUAAGAUAUAUUUACACUUGGAGGAGAUGCUGGCAUUGGUUUAGGGUGGUGGAAGAUACGCAGGGCGGUGUGUAUUAUCAGUGGCCCUAUGUGCCUCCAACUACAUUGGAGGAGUCAGUUUUGUGUCCUCCUUUUUCUAUCACUUAAUUGCUUGACUUACUUGCUACACUGUUAAUGCUAUACUUCAUCGCUGGCUGGCACUAUAGCCUUUAUUGAUUCCUGCUGCUUUAGUAUCAUAUGUAUCGUAGAAUCACUGAAGAAGGCACAUUCUCCCCUCUCUCUCCCUCCUUCGCUGUCUUACUUUGCUAGGAGUUCUUUCUUGAAUUCUAUAGUGUUUCUCACUUUCUUUACCAAAGGGCUGGCACUAGAAACUUUCUUUGGGCCCAUGGUGGCUUAUUUUGCAGUUGCACUCGAUCAGUAACCACAAAAAACAAUGGAUUAUAGCGAAAUGUUUGGAUGAAUGCUCAGAAUCUUCCUCACUCACCCAGAGACACAGCCAGACUGACUCAUGAAUGCGGUGGAGCAGCAGGUGGACGCAUCCAGUAUGGCCGAUCUCUGAAAUAACGGCUGGAAACCAGGAUUGAAUUUCAGCCAAAAAAGCGGGCGAAAACCGAAUUGGCUGAUAUCCGGAACGGCUGAUAACUGAGGGUCCACUGUAUAAUAAAUAGGGAACAAAUAAUCCAUCUUCCGGUCACUUCCACAGCCUGUUUGCUGGCAGGGAAGCAGGACAGGUCCUGCCUUCACUGAGGCACUGUUACCCUAGAGAUGAUAAGGUGGUAAGACACCCAAGUGGUUGAGCCAAAUUUGAGGAGUGAAUUGAAGAUGUGAAAAAUAUGCAUAUUAGUGCAUCACUCAAGGUUUAAGGGUUAAACCAUGAUUAGGUUUCUGAUCAUCUUUGCAUUGUUGUUGGACAUGAGAAACUGCAAUUGCAGUCCUCUGUCUGGCAGUCCUCUGUGAGGACUGCCAGGCAGCUCUCACAGUUUACAAUACAUUAAUAGACUGCCCUUUAUAAGAGCAAGCAGAAUUCACUUUUCACGUUUUCAACACCUUGAUCCACUACUAUAAACUGCUUUCCUUGCUGAGAGCUCCAUCUUUAACACAGACUUCUUCAACCUCUUUAUAGCAGAAACUAACUUAUUACACCAACUAUGACAUUCUUCUUUCAUCCCUCACUCACCCUCGCCUUUAUUCAUCCUCACCCUUAUAAUCUGCAUUGCAUCUCUUCUCACUUUACUUCAUUAUUAAGUUAUGUUUGCUAUAGUAUGUGAAAUUGUGAAUUUCAACUAAAAGUUUUUUUUCCUUUCUCUAGAAAGUAGAAUUUUUCUACUCUUUCAGCUGCUUCAGUGAGUGCUUGAACAUCUACAUCAGUGUUCAUAUAAAUGUUAAAACUUUGUUCUGUGUAGUGGUAGUAGCAGAGGAUGAAAUUACAAUUGGUGAUGAUUACUCUGCAUCCUUGAGUAUUUGCCAGUAAAUUUUAAUGCUUUUAUUUCCAUGAAACACAUGUAUAUUUGUAAAAAGAUAUUUUAGGACUUGUCAAGUACAAAUUUGAAUUAUUUUUAUUGUACAAAUAUUCAUCAUGUUAGCUAUUUUAAACUGUAAUGUUGACAUAAAUUUAUCAUUAAAUAAAUUUAUACCUAAGAUUUAUUAUAUUA